rnacentral:rRNA from 1 species
UGGGGAAUUUUGGACAAUGGGCGAAAGCCUGAUCCAGCCAUGCCGCGUGAGUGAAGAAGGCCUUCGGGUUGUAAAGCUCUUUCGGCUGGGACGAAAAGGUCCGUGCUAACACCACGGAUCCAUGACGGUACCAGCAGAAGAAGCACCGGCUAACUACGUGCCAGCAGCCGCGGUAAUACGUAGGGUGCAGGCGUUAAUCGGAAUUACUGGGCGUAAAGCGUGCGCAGGCGGUUUGCUAAGACAGGUGUGAAAUCCCCGGGCUUAACCUGGGAACUGCGCUUGUAACUGGCAAGCUGGAGUGUGGCAGAGGGGGGUGGAAUUCCACGUGUAGCAGUGAAAUGCGUAGAGAUGUGGAGGAACACCGAUGGCGAAGGCAGCCCCCUGGGCUAACACUGACGCUCAUGCACGAAAGCGUGGGGAGCAAACAGG